CGCAGCGUUGCCCAGUCAGGUCUACGGCACUGGCCUCAUAAGCCGUGUAUUCGUUGGUUCAAAUCCAACCGCUGCGCCCA
rnacentral:tRNA from 1 species